AGAAGAACUAGCAAAAUCCAAAUGGUGCUCUGGUCGUAUCCACCAACGCGGAAGCAACUAGCGGUGACAGUUGGCUUUCUAAUCACCGGCGCUUCACUAUUUUGUUAUGGAGCUUACCUGUCCAUGGCCAACAUAGCUCCUCAACAAGCUCGAGCUAAAGCCCGUAAAGAUUAUAUUAAAGAUCGCCUUCGAAAGAUGCUCGAUGAUUAGUUCGAUAAGCGUUUGCUUUAAUGCCGACUCCAGGAUUUUCUUAUCAAAGUAUGGAUGCAUUACUCUCUCUGUUGAUGUCCAUCCCUUUUUUUUUUUUUUGUUUUUUUUAAAAUUUUUCUAUGCAAAAGUUCCAGUGUUUUUUUAAAAAAAAAAAAAAAAAAA
rnacentral:misc_RNA from 1 species